AACGCACCUUGCACUCUUUGGUAUUCCGAAGAGUAUGUCUGUUUGAGUGUCAUGAAACUCUCAACCCCCCUAUUUUGUAAUGAGAUAGGCGUGGGCUUGGAUUAUGGCUGUUUGCUGGCUUUUAAUUAAGCCGGCUCAGCUGAAAUACACGAGCUACCCAAUUUGAAAACAGAACGGUUUGACUCGGCGUAAUAAUUAUUUCGCUGAGGACGUUCACAUUUCAAGCCAGUGGUGCUUCUAAUGCAUUAUCAUAAUUUAAGCUUUAGACCUCAAAUCAGUCAGGACUACCCGCUGAACUUAA
rnacentral:misc_RNA from 2 species